UUCCCACCUAGGGUUCUUCACCUUUUGUGAGCCUCAGGGACUGGUUAGUUUUGGCUUCCAUCUCCAUUAACUGGGCCUCAGGGGAAGGCAUCAUUACUAGGUGGUGCUGGUUCCAGAUGGCCCCAGCUCAUGCCUCUUAAGCACCAAUGUCCCUCUACCCACAAAGAAUGCCCAUUAUCUUAGGUUGAGGAAAGUUGCAGCUCCUGUGGGAAUGUAGUGUUAUUGGAUGAAUGGAUAUGUAUGUAUGAAUGUACCUAUGUAUGUAUGUAUGUAUGUAUGUAUGUAUGUAUUUAUGUACAUACUACGUACCUACGUACACACAUAUUCUUAUGUCCUUUCCCACCUCCCUCCCACUUCUCCACUUGCUUUCUCUUAGUUCAUAGAAAAACUGACAUAUUCUGAGGUCCUCCCUGGAACAGCCAGGUUGGGUUACAGCCCGUAUCAGCGAUGACGGUGACUGCCAAGCUGCCACACUAAAAAGUAGACAGACUGAGAUGGGAUCUGUCACCCGUGAAGAGAGCUGUGUGAUUACCAUGUCCUUUAACUGACUGUCCCUGCACUUGAGCCCAGCUCACCUCUGGUCCCUUGAGUGUCUCAGAGCAUCCUUCCAUGGUUUGACUUCUGUCCUGUAAAUCCAAGACCCAUUCUUUCUGUAUGUCUAGAUAUCUGUGCUUCAUUAGGACCCUGACUUCUAAUUUUUCUGAAUUUUUUCCCCUCAGGGUGGAAGCCCAACUCCCUUUGACAGGAAUUU
rnacentral:lncRNA from 1 species